UGGUGCCCAACGUGCGGCUCCUGGCACGGGGAAGUUAACGAGGGAGCCGUUGGAGAACGCCGGCUGAAAGUGAAAGUAAACUGAAUCAAGGCUGAGGCCUGCGUGGACGACUGCCCAACGAGCCACCCAAGUCACGGUAAGUGAACAGCAACCCCAUCCCUUUCCCGGACAUGGGUCAAGCAUUGAGCGAACAUGAAUUGUUCGUGGGAGGCCUUAGCAAGGCAUUAAAGACAAGAGGGGUAAGGGUUAGAACAAAAGAAUUGUUGCAGUAUUUUCAGUUUAUUCAUAAAGUGUG
rfam:Cavia porcellus supercont2_27 genomic scaffold, whole genome shotgun sequence.